rnacentral:rRNA from 1 species
GGGAACUGCAUUUGAAACNNGCNGGNNUUGAGUCUNGUAGAGGGGGGUAGAAUUCCAGGUGUAGCGGUGAAAUGCGUAGAGAUCUGGAGGAAUACCGGUGGCGAAGGCGGCCCCCUGGACGAAGACUGACGCUCAGGUGCGAAAGCGUGGGGAGCAAACAGGAUUAGAUACNNGGUANUNCACGCCGUAAACGAUGUCGACUUGGAGGCUGUUCCCCUGAGGAGUGGCUUCCGGAGCUAACGCGUUAAGUCGACCGCCUGGGGAGUACGGCCGCAAGGUUAAAACUCAAAUGAAUUGACGGGGGCCCGCACAAGCGGUGGAGCAUGUGGUUUAAUUCGAUGCAACGCGAAGAACCUUACCUGGCCUUGACAUCCAGAGAACUUAGCAGAGAUGCUUUGGUGCCUUCGGGAACUCUGAGACAGGUGCUGCAUGGCUGUCGUCAGCUCGUGUUGUGAAAUGUUGGGUUAAGUCCCGCAACGAGCGCAACCCUUAUCCUUUGUUGCCAGCGGGUGAUGCCGGGAACUCAAAGGAGACUGCCGGUGAUAAACCGGAGGAAGGUGGGGAUGACGUCAAGUCAUCAUGGCCCUUACGGCCAGGGCUACACACGUGCUACAAUGGCGCAUACAAAGAGAAGCGACCUCGCGAGAGCAAGCGGACCUCAUAAAGUGCGUCGUAGUCCGGAUCGGAGUCUGCAACUCGACUCCGUGAAGUCGGAAUCGCUAGUAAUCGUAGAUCAGAAUGCUACGGUGAAUACGUUCCCGGGCCUUGUACACACCGCCCGUCACACCAUGGGAGUGGGNUGCAAAAGAAGUAGGUAGCUUAAC